UCCCAAAGUGUUGAGUUUAGUACAGGUUAUGUUCCUCCUGUGCUGGUAAUUAAACUUUGGAAAAAUGAAAAGCAAUGGGGUUAUUACCCUUGGUGGCAAUGUGUACCCCCACCAGGAAA